CACGAAACCAAUCGAGCUACGAAGGGACGUAUUGUAGUACAAAAUAUGUAGCACAAUAAUAAUAGAUACCUUGGUAGGAGUGAUAGGCCCUCAAGUUUGGUGAUAUCUUGUUGACCUUGAAAACUAUAGAGUACAGUGUCAGUUUGCUAGUGAUAAGGCUGGUAAAAGUUACGUAAUUUGAUUAUUUAUACUAACAUAGUUUAACCGCUAGUUCUUUUAUAAAUUUAAAUAUUAGUAUCUGAUAUUAGUAGAUAAUAAAGGUGAAUAUUUAAUAACUUGACGUAUUUAUAUUGUAGGUAUUAGUAAUCAAGGCACUGCUGAUGAACUUGGCAAUAUUUCUUUCACCUGUUUAUCAAAAACGUCGCCAGUAGGUGGUACUAUUGGUUAAUUCUGCUCCAUGAAAAUUAAAUAGCCGCAGUACCCUGACUGUGCAAAGGUAGCAUAAUCAUUUGGCUUAUAAUUGAAGUCUGGUAUGAAUGAAUACAUGGGGGAAAGCUCUAUUGGCGGUGAAGGUUGAAUUUACUUAGUGGGUGCAAAUUCCCACAAUUAAAUAAAAGACGAGAAGACCCUUGAAAUUUUUACUAUUUGUCGACUCGAGUUUUUGUUGGGGCAACAUAGUAACAUUUAAACUUACAAUAAUGACAUGACAUAUUAUAGUUAGAAUAAAUUACUCUAGGGAUAACAGCGUAAUUCUCUGUGAGUUUGCGACCUCGAUGUUGGACUAGGAAGCAGAGGCUUAGAA
rnacentral:rRNA from 1 species